CUCCCUCGCGGUUCCCAUAAUUCCCAGCAUCUACACAUCAUAGAGUAGGGAUUACUCUAUGAUGUGUAGAUGCUGGGAAUUAUGGGAACCGCGAGGGAG